UGUGUGUGAAUUUUCUCAAUCCACGUUGC
rnacentral:piRNA from 1 species